UACGUAGGGUGCAAGCGUUGUCCGGAAUCAUUGGGCGUAAAGAGCGUGUAGGCGGCUUGGUAAGUCCGCUGUGAAAGUCCAGGGCUCAACCCUGGAAAGCCGGUGGAAACUGUCAAGCUUGAGUCCGGAAGAGGCGAGUGGAAUUCCUGGUGUAGCGGUGAAAUGCGCAGAUAUCAGGAGGAACACCAAUGGCGAAGGCAGCUCGCUGGGACGGUACUGACGCUGAGACGCGAAAGCGUGGGGAGCAAACAGG
rnacentral:rRNA from 1 species